CUUCAGAUAAUAAAUAAAGAUAUUUUUAAUAUUCUCUCAUCAUUUAUGUCCAUUCAUUGAAAGACUGUUUUGGCUGUUUUGGAAGCUUGAAUGUGCGCGCAAGCACAAGAACCAAUGAGAUUUGUUCUUGCACGUGGUGCACACGUUUCCGCAUCCGUUGACCAUAAGAGAUAUAAAUACAUAUGUAGUUUCAUCAAUGUUUAUGUGAAUAAACGGCUAAAUUACAAUUUGUUCAUCAUAUAAAGCGGUCGAUCGUGUCUCGUUAGAAGACUUGGAUUGAACCUGCUCACUCCCUGUAACACUUAAGGUGAAGUUUUCCAAACCUUAUGUUAUACUUAGGGAAAUGACAGUUAAGGGGCUUUAUGCAACACAUCAUUUUUUUAAAGGAUUGAACACACCUUGUCGAAUUGUUCGCUUGUUGGAGACCUGGAAAUAUAGAGAACCGUUUUUACUCUCCACCAUUCUCUAAAAUUACGCACUUGCUUCAUAAUAUAUUUCUUUUGUUUUUUUAGAUGGACAAUCUGUCUGACCAAGAUGUGUAUCAAAAGAGGUCAAGGGCAGUUGGGGUAGAUUUAUUCAGGAGAAGAUUACAGAUGAUUACAGCAUUGGGAUCCACUUGGAUAAAAUGAAAAUCAAAUGCUUGAAGAUCACCAAAUCCUUUUAGAGGACUAAAUGACAUGGACAAAGCGUGAGAGGACAGACUAUAUAAAACAUCACUCCACGAAGGAAAUAUUAUCAUGAUAUCCAGCCCUUAAUGUCCCCUCAGUUGAACCACUUACACCCAACCCUGUGCUGUAUAUACUGUAAAUGGAUGUGCCUUGGAUGCAGUAUGUUUUAGAAAUAAUGAUGCAAGGGGAGAAGGUCUGUGAAGUAGACGAUAUGACCAGGUCAUAUAACCAUGUUAUUCUAAUGACAAUGUACUUCAUCUUCAACCUUGAAUAUGCUUCAAAGCCGAGAAACACUCUAACAUUCUUUGAAAAAUAUUUAAUGUGCCAUAAUGCCAAAACCAAAAUUCUACCCACAGUGAUAAAAAUGUCCUGUUUAAUGUCCUGUUUAAACAUUAUCUUAAAAAUUAUAUAUAAAUUAAAUAUAAUUAAAUGAUUAAAAAUAAUAUAAAAAUGAUAGAUAUUCAGCUACAUUCUGUUACAGGUUGAUGGAAAUUUAUAGAUUAAUGAAUGAAUUUAUUUAUUUGAUUGUUUAUUUAUUUAUUUAUUUGAUUGAAUGAUAAAAAACAAUAUUCCUUUUUUCUCUGUUAAUUGGUG